GCCCGGAUGGUCUAGUGGGUUAGUAGCUUCUUUCCCCAUGACAAGCGAGCUGUGGGCAUCCACUAACGCAUAACAGUAUGAUUCUCGCUUGUAAUGCGAGAGGCCCCGCGUUCGAAUCGCGGUUCGGGCC
rnacentral:tRNA from 2 species